AGUGAACGCUGGCGGUAGGCCUAACACAUGCAAGUCGAACGGCAGCACAGUAAGAGCUUGCUCUUACGGGUGGCGAGUGGCGGACGGGUGAGGAAUACAUCGGAAUCUACUUUUUCGUGGGGGAUAACGUAGGGAAACUUACGCUAAUACCGCAUACGAUCUACGGGUGAAAGCAAGAGAUCUUCGGACCUUGCACCAUUCAAUGAGCCGAUGUCGGAUUAGCUAGUUGGUGGGGUAAAGGCCCACCAAGGCGACGAUCCGUAGCUGGUCUGAGAGGAUGAUCAGCCACACUGGAACUGAGACACGGUCCAGACUCCUACGGGAGGCAGCAGUGGGGAAUAUUGGACAAUGGGCGCAAGCCUGAUCCAGCCAUACCGCGUGGGUGAAGAAGGCCUUCGGGUUGUAAAGCCCUUUUGUUGGGAAAGAAAAGCAGCAGGUUAAUACCCCGCUGUCCUGACGGUACCCAAAGAAUAAGCACCGGCUAACUUCGUG
rnacentral:rRNA from 1 species